GUUCAAUAUUUCUUCUUUUCCUUUCAUAUUUUACCUUAUAUGCACGCAUAUAACUGGGUCUGGGACUUCUUUUCAGUUCACUGCUUACUUUUGACGUUGUUAACUAAAGCAAAACAUAUUAUUUUAUAAUGUGCUAGUACCUUAAUUUGUGAUGAAGAGAUUCUCAGAGCACUUGACGUGUUUGCAAAUGCUUCUUUACUUCUCCAUUACUUUGUUCUCCAAGUCCGUAGCCCCUUUCCAUGCCGCCAG
rnacentral:misc_RNA from 1 species